rnacentral:misc_RNA from 1 species
GAUGAAGAACGUAGUGAAAUGCGAUAGGUAAUGUGAAUUGCAGAAUUCAGUGAAUCAUCGAAUCUUUGAACGCACAUUGCGCCCGCCAGUAUUCUGGCGGGCAUGCCUGUCCGAGCGUCAUUUCAACCCUCGAACCCCUCCGGGGGGUCGGCGUUGGGGAUCGGCCCUUUCACCGGGUGCCGGCCCCUAAAUACAGUGGCGGUCUCGCCGCAGCCUCUCAUGCGCAGUAGUUUGCACACUCGCACCGGGAGCGCGGCGCGUCCACGUCCGUAAAACACCCCAACUUCUGAAAUGUUGACCUCGGAUCAGGUAGGAAUACCCGCUGAACUUAAGCAUAUCAAUAAGCGGAGGA